rnacentral:rRNA from 1 species
AACGAACGCUGGCGGAAUGCUUUACACAUGCAAGUCGAACGGCAGCAUAGGUGCUUGCACCUGAUGGCGAGUGGCGAACGGGUGAGUAAUACAUCGGAACGUGCCCAGUCGUGGGGGAUAACGUAGCGAAAGUUACGCUAAUACCGCAUACGAUCUAAGGAUGAAAGCGGGGGACCGUAAGGCCUCGCGCGAUUGGAGCGGCCGAUGUCAGAUUAGGUAGUUGGUGAGGUAAAGGCUCACCAAGCCGACGAUCUGUAGCUGGUCUGAGAGGACGACCAGCCACACUGGGACUGAGACACGGCCCAGACUCCUACGGGAGGCAGCAGUGGGGAAUUUUGGACAAUGGACGCAAGUCUGAUCCAGCCAUUCCGCGUGCAGGACGAAGGCCUUCGGGUUGUAAACUGCUUUUGUACGGAACGAAAAAGCUCUUACUAAUACUAGGAGUCCAUGACGGUACCGUAAGAAUAGCACCGGCUAACUACGUGCCAGCAGCCGCAGUAACAC